AGAGUUUGAUCCUGGCUCAGAUUGAACGCUGGCGGCAGGCCUAACACAUGCAAGUCGAGCGGAUGAAGGGAGCUUGCUCCUGGAUUCAGCGGCGGACGGGUGAGUAAUGCCUAGGAAUCUGCCUGGUAGUGGGGGACAACGUUUCGAAAGGAACGCUAAUACCGCAUACGUCCUACGGGAGAAAGCAGGGGACCUUCGGGCCUUGCGCUAUCAGAUGAGCCUAGGUCGGAUUAGCUAGUUGGUGAGGUAAUGGCUCACCAAGGCGACGAUCCGUAACUGGUCUGAGAGGAUGAUCAGUCACACUGGAACUGAGACACGGUCCAGACUCCUACGGGAGGCAGCAGUGGGGAAUAUUGGACAAUGGGCGAAAGCCUGAUCCAGCCAUGCCGCGUGUGUGAAGAAGGUCUUCGGAUUGUAAAGCACUUUAAGUUGGGAGGAAGGGUUGUAGAUUAAUACUCUGCAAUUUUGACGUUACCGACAGAAUAAGCACCGGCUAACUCUGUGCCAGCAGCCGCGGUAAUACAGAGGGUGCAAGCGUUAAUCGGAAUUACUGGGCGUAAAGCGCGCGUAGGUGGUUCGUUAAGUUGGAUGUGAAAUCCCCGGGCUCAACCUGGGAACUGCAUUCAAAACUGUCGAGCUAGAGUAUGGUAGAGGGUGGUGGAAUUUCCUGUGUAGCGGUGAAAUGCGUAGAUAUAGGAAGGAACACCAGUGGCGAAGGCGACCACC
rnacentral:rRNA from 1 species